GACGAACGCUGGCGGCGUGCUUAACACAUGCGAGUCGAACGGAAAGGCCCUGCUUUUGUGGGGUGCUCGAGUGGCGAACGGGUGAGUAACACGUGAGUAACCUGCCCUUGACUUUGGGAUAACUUCAGGAAACUGGGGCUAAUACCGGAUAGGAGCUCCUGCUGCAUGGGGGGGGUUGGAAAGUUUCGGCGGUUGGGGAUGGACUCGCGGCUUAUCAGCUUGGUGGUGGGGUAGUGGCUUACCAAGGCUUUGACGGGUAGCCGGCCUGGGAGGGUGACCGGCCACAAUGGGACUGAGGUACGGCCCAGACUCCUACGGGAGGCAGCGGUGGGGAAUAUUGCACAAUGGGCGGAAGCCUGAUGCAGCAACGCCGCGUGCGGGAUGACGGCCUUCGGGUUGUAAACCGCUUUCGCCUGUGACGAAGCGUGAGUGACGGUAAUGGGUAAAGAAGCACCGGCUAACUACGUG
rnacentral:rRNA from 1 species